rnacentral:lncRNA from 1 species
CAGUGCCUGGUGCAUAGUAGGAUCUCAGUGAAGGUCUGUAGAAUGAAAACAAUAAUAUAACAGCCAUUGCAGAUCAAGUCCUGAUCACAUGCCAGGCACCUAGAAAGCCUUUCUUAGGCGUUAUCUCAUGUGAUCCUCCCAAUAACCCCAUGAGACAGUGAUCUUUAUUUUACAGAUGCUGAAACAGAGGUGCAGAGCCUUGUAGUAACUUCUCCCAUGCUACUGAUGAGUGGCAGAGGCAGGAGUGUGACUCCACACCUUGGAUUCCAGAGCACCACACUGUUCCCUGAGCUGACCGUGCAAGGCUUUGACCACCCAGCCUGGACCUUCAGCAGAUGGAAAGCUGUGCUUUAGGAUCCAUGGCAAAGCAAGGGUUAACGUACCUAAAAUAAGCUGCCCUGGAGGGCUCUUUGAAGACAGCAGGGUGUUAUUUAAUGAGGGAGCAUUUCCAGGAUCUGAAUUAUAGAAAUUAGCCAGCUGGGUUCAGGUCCAGUUACGAACUCAUGGCAAUUUCUUCAGGCUUGAAGAGAAUCAACAGCUUAACUAACAAGGAAAAACGGUGCCAUCGUAGCUCCGCACACCAGAUUCACCACAGAGGCAGGACUGACGGCAUCUUGAGUACAAUAAGAGGUCACCAGGAGACCACAUCUUUGUUCCUUUCUCCAAACUCAAGUGAGGAAGUGGAUUAUAGAACCCAGCCAGUAGAAUGGAGAGGAGAAAACAAGAGCCAUUCCUGGGAAGGGAAAGUCAAGAGCGGCAGCCAGGUGUGGAGAACUUGCACUGCAGGAGAAAUGCACCCCUUCGAGUUGCUUUAAGGGACCUCUGCUUUAGCACAAAUGGUGGUGGGAUACUAAUCCAUGAGAGCUCUGUAUUUUAAAGUCAGUAUCUUGAGUAAUAAUUUCUGGAUGGAUGAAGGGUUUGCUGUUAUUUUUAUAUCAGCCAGCACACAAGUAGUUACCCAUCCAAUGAAAUACAGUGAAAGGCAGAGAGAGGAGCAAGGACAUCACAGAAGUGGAUGAAAGGGCCAAAGAGCAUCAAGCAAGAAUGAAACAGAGAUGGAGUCACUCAGGUUUCCCCCAAUACGUUGGGAAGAAGGAAUUUGUGCUCAGUACCAGAACUAGACUGUUCUUAUGACCACAUAAGGUUUUUUAGUUUUAUGCACACAUUAUAGCUAAUGUUUCCUGCUGAUUAAACUAUGUAUACAUUUUCCAUAGCAUGGUUUUGGUUCUUCUCAACCAUUCCUUUGGAUGGCUCUAUAAGGCACUGUUGAGAGAUUCUUUCCAAGGAGAAUAAGCAAAACAGGAGACCAUUUGCAGGAUCUAGAUCUCAGAAUAGGUGGGCCACAGAAGUCUCCCCUGUUAGUGUAUUUGAAUGGAGGCUACCCUUGGUUGGAUCUGCCAAAGGUCAUGCAUUUGUCCAUAAAAUGAAAUGAAGGAAAUGGAGAUCUCUGUCAAUCACAUAUCUCUUCAAGUACAUCUGAGUUGCCCAGUAAAAAAGAAUUAAAGGAAAUAUCUGAAUGAUCUAAGCUUCUAAAACAAGUUUGGGCUGCUCGUUUCAAUCAAUCAAGAAAUAUUUUUCAGUACCUGCUAUAUGUCCAGCAUUUGCUAGUCAAUUAAGAGGAGAAUAUAA